rnacentral:tRNA from 1 species
GAGCUCGUAGCUCAACUGGAUAGAGCGGCAGACUUCGAAACUGUAGGUUAUGGGUUGGAGUCCUAUCGGGAGCA